AUGUUUACUAUUUAUUUUUUUUCUAUUAUGUUAUUAUUAUUAUAUAAUUUUUACCAUACAUUUUUUUAUUAUGUACUUUUUAUUGUCUUCAAUUUUUAAUUUUCAUUAACAUUUAAAUAUAACUAAAUUCAAAUUUUUGAUUAUACAUAUGAUAUGAAAAAAAAAAGUAAAAUAACUAGAAAAAGCAAUCCGUUCAUCAUAGUGAAAUAGGAAAAUAACAAUUUUUAUUUAUAAUAUAAGGUACACCUCAUAACACUUAAUAACAUUUUUAAUUUUCAAUUUUUUUAUUUUUUUUAAAUUAAAUGUCUAAAUUAAUAAAAACAAAUGAUUAAAUUGAGAUUCUCUUAAAUAUUUAAGUGCUUUUUAUAAUUUGAAACUAGAAAAAAAAAAAAAAAAAAAAAAAAAAAAGGCAUAUAUAACUUUAUUUUUUCACUCUCUCCCUCUUUUUUUUUUUUUUUUUUUUUUAUUUCCUCUUCUUUUCUCUUAAAGUCAAGGUAAUAUUACAAAAUAUGCCUUACACACAUAUACAUAAUUGAGUUAAUGACCAUUGUAGGUAUUACAUGAUAUAUGUAAACUUAAACAUGGUAUUAGCUUUGAUUUAUUUUUUAAAAAAAAUAAAGUAAAUAAUAUUUUUAUUUUAUUUUUACAUUUUAUGUUAUAGAUGGAAGGUAACAACGUGUUAAACCUUGAAAAAAUAGGUGAACUGUUCAAAAAAACGCUUGGAUUAAUGAAGAAUAGUAUAAAGGGACUAACUGAAAGGUUAUUUAAAAAAAAAAAAGGAAAAUAAAAAAAUAAAAAAAUAAAAAAUUUAAAGAACAAAUAAAUUAAUAAACAUACAACUAAGUUAUUAAUGAAUAUAUAAGAAAAUUACCUAUGGAAACUGCUUAAUUUUAAUUAAUUAACAACAUGCCUAUUUUUUAUUUUUUUUAUUUUUAGAAACUCGAGUAUUAAAAAUUUACUAAAUAUUAGCGAGAAUAUGCAAAACAAAAGUGAUUAUCGGAGCUUACUAUCCGGAGAUAUGGGCUUUAACAAGGAGCGAAUUAUGAAAUGGGCAGUCUUGGUGAUUCUUAUUUAUGUUAUAAUAUCAGUUUUUUCCUAUAUUUUUAUAAAUUACAUAUUGUUCUAUGCAAUAAUUUUUGUUAUAUUUGCUGUAGUUGUUAAGUGUUUUCUUCAUUAUUACAAUAAUUAUGAUAAUGAUGAUGAUAUACAACUAAUGCAGUCAAAUUAUUAUAAUAUUGAUACACAAAGUAUAUAGUAUAACAUAGUAAACAAUUGUGACCAAAGUGAAAGCUCCUUAAAAAAAAAAAAAAAAAAUUAAAAAUUAAAAACGCACUCUCCUUCCUUCUUUCCUCCCUCUCUCUCUCUCUCUCCCUAUAUAUAUAAGUAUACAUGCAAUAUAAAUGGCUUAAAAAAAUACAAAGAUAAAAUAUAACAAAAGUAAACUACACAAACUAUGC
rnacentral:lncRNA from 1 species